rnacentral:rRNA from 1 species
GAUGAACGCUGGCGGCGUGCCUAAUACAUGCAAGUCGAGCGAACAGAUAAGGAGCUUGCCCCUUUGACGUUAGCGGCGGACGGGUGAGUAACACGUGGGUAACCUACCUAUAAGACUGGGAUAACUUCGGGAAACCGGAGCUAAUACCGGAUAAUAUUUCGAACCGCAUGGUUCGAUAGUGGAAGAUGGUUUUGCUAUCACUUAUAGAUGGACCCGCGCCGUAUUAGCUAGUUGGUAAGGUAACGGCUUACCAAGGCGACGAUACGUAGCCGACCUGAGAGGGUGAUCGGCCACACUGGAACUGAGACACGGUCCAGACUCCUACGGGAGGCAGCAGUAGGGAAUCUUCCGCAAUGGGCGAAAGCCUGACGGAGCAACGCCGCGUGAGUGAUGAAGGUCUUCGGAUCGUAAAACUCUGUUAUUAGGGAAGAACAUACGUGUAAGUAACUGUGCACGUCUUGACGGUACCUAAUCAGAAAGCCACGGCUAACUACGUG